GAUGAACGCUGGCGGCGUGCUUAACACAUGCAAGUCGAACGAAGCACUUUAUUUGAUUUCCUUCGGGACUGAUUAUUUUGUGACUGAGUGGCGGACGGGUGAGUAACGCGUGGGUAACCUGCCUUGUACAGGGGGAUAACAGUUGGAAACGGCUGCUAAUACCGCAUAAGCGCACGGCAUCGCAUGAUGCAGUGUGAAAAACUCCGGUGGUAUAAGAUGGACCCGCGUUGGAUUAGCUAGUUGGUGAGGUAACGGCCCACCAAGGCGACGAUCCAUAGCCGACCUGAGAGGGUGACCGGCAACAUUGGGACUGAGACACGGCCCAAACUCCUACGGGAGGCAGCAGUGGGGAAUAUUGCACAAUGGGCGAAAGCCUGAUGCAGCGACGCCGCGUGAGCGAAGAAGUAUUUCGGUAUGUAAAGCUCUAUCAGCAGGGAAGAUAAUGACGGUACCUGACUAAGAAGCACCGGCUAAAUACGUG
rnacentral:rRNA from 1 species